rnacentral:rRNA from 1 species
AUACGUAGGGUGCAAGCGUUAAUCGGAAUUACUGGGCGUAAAGCGUGCGCAGGCGGUUUUUUAAGACAGUGGUGAAAUCCCCGGGCUCAACCUGAGAACUGCCCUUGUGACUGCACGGCUGGAGUGCGGCAGAGGGGGCUGGAAUUCCGCGGGUAGCAGUGAAAUGCGUAGAUAUGCGGAGGAACACCGAUGGCGAAGGCAAUCCCCUGGGCCUGCACUGACGCUCAUGCACGAAAGCGUGGGGAGCAAACAGGAUUAGAUACCCUGGUAGUCCACGCCCUAAACGAUGUCAACUGGUUGUUGGGGAUUUAUUUUCUCAGUAACGAAGCUAACGCGUGAAGUUGACCGCCUGGGGAGUACGGCCGCAAGGUUAAAACUCAAAUGAAUUGACGGGG